rnacentral:lncRNA from 1 species
AUGCCUUUCAGUAUGUAUCUAGUUUCCCCACAAGCCCCCAAAAAACAACUAACUAGCACACUUACCCUUUCUCAAAUUUUUAUAUACUCUUUCUACUACUGUUGGGAUAGGUUGUUCUUUAUUCAGAGAGAAACAGAUAAACCAGUUGGUUUUUGUAUGGAGCUGGUUUUAUGUGACAGUUAGCCUUAUUUCUUUGAUGACAUUACAUUUGGUAUUGUGAGAUGCUCAUAUCAUGGGAGGUGUGCAUGUGCUAUGGAUGGACACACUCAGCAGACUGGUGUGUGCCAUGUCUUACAGCAGUCCUCACCAAAAUGAAUGAAAUUAGAACAUUAUGUGGGAUUGCAUCCAUUACAAGGUACUGACAUUCAACUCCAGGCCAGAAACUGAGGACUCUCCAGGUAGAAAGUGAAUGAUCCAUCCUGGGCAGGUUGCAGACAGGUGUGCUUCUGAAGUGGUGGGUUCUUGCCAUCACUGUGAGUGGCAGUUGUCUUUUUAUAACUCUGAUUUCAAAGCACUUGCUUAUAUUCAAACAAUGAAAACCUGAUUCUAAGAAUUUUAAAUCUCCACAUUUUUUCAUACACACGUACAUUUCAUUUUGAUUAUAUUCAUCUUUUCUCCCCUCCAACUCUUCCAAUGUUCCCCAUAUGUCCCUGUUAAAUUCAUUUCCUCCUCUUCUAUAAUAGUAUAAUGAUGAUGAUGAUAUAAUUUUAUAUAAAAAUUCUACCAAGCUCUGUCAUUGUUGCCUGUAUGCCCAUGAGGAGAGUAGGGCCAACCACUUAGGCAUGGACAGCCUAUUAGGGAGCUCAUCCCUGCACAAAACAUAUUCUUCCUUCCUCAGCCCUCAACUAGGGGUGGUGCCUAGCGAGCUCUUCCCACAUCCACACUGGGAUGCAGGCUGGUGGGGCCUGGGGCAGGCCUUGUUCAGCAACCACAGCUGCUGUGUGGUCAUGUGUGCAGCAUCCUUGCCUGUUCAGAGGAUACAUUUUCACAGCAGUUCACCCGGUCAUCUGGCUCUCACAUCCUUUCUGCUUCCUCUUCCCUGAUGUCCCAUAAGAGUUGAGUAUUGGGGUUGUGUUACAGAUCCCUCAUUUUGGGGCCGAACAUUCCAUACACACUUAUUCUCUGUACUACCCGUGACUCUCUGUAGUCGCCUCCAUCCAUUGCAAAGAGUCCUCUUUGUUGAGGGAUGAGAGAUGCGCUGAUCUGUGUAUAUAAAGAUAUGUUUUUAAGUGGCAAUUAGAUACCAUAUCAAUUUAUUAAAAUGAUAGUAGGAUGUUUCUUGGGGACUAGGGCCUCUAAUAUGGGGUAUGAUGCCCCCCAAGUCCAUAGACUACCAAAAAACCUGGUGCCUGUUGUGAUAUAGCUACUUUAGAGUUGUUGGCUUCUAAGACCCCCCCCC